UGGGGAAUCUUAGACAAUGGGGGAAACCCUGAUCUAGCCAUGCCGCGUGAGCGAUGAAGGCCUUAGGGUUGUAAAGCUCUUUCAGCUGGGAAGAUAAUGACGGUACCAGCAGAAGAAGCCCCGGCUAACUCCGUGCCAGCAGCCGCGGUAAUACGGAGGGGGCUAGCGUUGUUCGGAAUUACUGGGCGUAAAGCGCACGUAGGCGGAUUAGUCAGUCAGAGGUGAAAUCCCAGGGCUCAACCCUGGAACUGCCUUUGAUACUGCUAGUCUUGAGGUCGAGAGAGGUAAGUGGAAUUCCGAGUGUAGAGGUGAAAUUCGUAGAUAUUCGGAGGAACACCAGUGGCGAAGGCGGCUCACUGGCUCGAUACUGACGCUGAGGUGCGAAAGCGUGGGGAGCAAAACAGGAUUAGAUACCCUGGUAGUCCACGCCGUAAACGAUGAAUGCCAGUCGUCGGGUUGCAUGCAAUUCGGUGACACACCUAACGGAUUAAGCAUUCCGCCUGGGGAGUACGGUCGCAAGAUUAAAACUCAAAGGAAUUGACGGGGUCAUAGCUGUUUCCUG
rnacentral:rRNA from 1 species